GCCUUCGUGGUGUAACGGUAGCACGUUUGGCGCGUAUUCGAGAGGUCCAGUUUCGAGUCCCGGCGAGGGCA
rfam:Stegodyphus mimosarum contig11197, whole genome shotgun sequence.